GACGAACGCUGGCGGCGUGCUUAACACAUGCAAGUCGAACGGAAAGGCCCUGCUUUUGUGGGGUGCUCGAGUGGCGAACGGGUGAGUAACACGUGAGUAACCUGCCCUUGACUUUGGGAUAACUUCAGGAAACUGGGGCUAAUACCGGAUAGGAGCUCCUGCUGCAUGGUGGGGGUUGGAAAGUUUGGGCGGUUGGGGAUGGACUUGCGGCUUAUCAGCUUGUUGGUGGGGUAGUGGCUUACCAAGGCUUUGACGGGUAGCCGGCCUGAGAGGGUGACCGGGCACAAUGGGCCUGAGAUACGGCCCAGAAUCCUACGGUAGGCAGCAGUGGGGAAUAUUGCACAACGGGCGGAAGCCGGAUGCAGCAACGCCGCGUGCGGGAUGACGGCUUUCUGGUUGUAAACCGCUUUCGCCUGUGACGAAGCGUGAGUGACGGUAAUGGGUAAAGAAGCACCGGCUAACUACGUG
rnacentral:rRNA from 1 species